rnacentral:rRNA from 1 species
UGGGGAAUAUUGGACAAUGGGCGCAAGCCUGAUCCAGCCAUGCCGCGUGAGUGAUGAAGGCCCUAGGGUUGUAAAGCUCUUUUGUGCGGGAAGAUAAUGACUGUACCGCAAGAAUAAGCCCCGGCUAACUUCGUGCCAGCAGCCGCGGUAAUACGAAGGGGGCUAGCGUUGCUCGGAAUCACUGGGCGUAAAGCGCACGUAGGCGGACUCUUAAGUCGGUGGUGAAAUCCUGGAGCUCAACUCCAGAACUGCCUUCGAUACUGGGAGUCUCGAGUUCGGGAGAGGUGAGUGGAACUGCGAGUGUAGAGGUGAAAUUCGUAGAUAUUCGCAAGAACACCAGUGGCGAAGGCGGCUCACUGGCCCGAUACUGACGCUGAGGUGCGAAAGCGUGGGGAGCAAACGGG